rnacentral:rRNA from 1 species
GAAUCUUCCGCAAUGGACGAAAGUCUGACGGAACAACGCCGCGAGAGUGAUGAAGGUUUUCGGGUCGUAAAGCUCUGUUGCCAGGGAAGAACGCGUGGGAUAGUAACCGCUCCCAAGGUGACGGUACCUGAGAAGAAAGCCCCGGCUACCCACGUGACCGCAGCCGCGGUGAUACGUAGGGGGCAAGCGUUGUCCGGAAUUAUUGGGCGUAAAGCGCGCGCAGGCGGCCUUGUAAGUCUGUUGUUUAAACUUGGGGCUCAACCCCAAGUCGCAAUGGAAACUGCAAAGCUUGAGUACAGAAGAGGAAAGUGGAAUUCCACGUGUAGCGGUGAAAUGCGUAGAGAUGUGGAGGAACACCAGUGGCGAAGGCGACUUUCUGGGCUGUAACUGACGCUGAGGCGCGAAAGCGUGGGGAGCAAACA